CCUACGGGUGGCAGCAGUGAGGAAUAUUGGUCAAUGGACGAGAGUCUGAACCAGCCAAGUAGCGUGAAGGAUGACUGCCCUAUGGGUUGUAAACUUCUUUUAUAUGGGAAUAAAAUGUUCCACGUGUGGGAUUUUGUAUGUACCAUAUGAAUAAGGAUUGGCUAACUCCGUGCCAGCAGCCGCGGUAAUACGGAGGAUCCGAGCGUUAUCCGGAUUUAUUGGGUUUAAAGGGAGCGUAGGUGGAUUGUUAAGUCAGUUGUGAAAGUUUGCGGCUCAACCGUAAAAUUGCAGUUGAAACUGGCAGUCUUGAGUACAGUAGAGGUGGGCGGAAUUCGUGGUGUAGCGGUGAAAUGCUUAGAUAUCACGAAGAACUCCGAUUGCGAAGGCAGUUCACUGGACUGCAACUGACACUGAGGCUCGAAAGUGUGGGUAUCAAACAGGAUUAGAUACCCUUGUAGUC
rnacentral:rRNA from 1 species